ensembl:lncRNA
AGCCCUACACAAAGGAAGAGGACAGAGGACCUCAUUUUCUAAAGGAAGAUCCCUCACACACUUUCAAGACUGUGAAGCCGACAGACUAUCCAAAGGAACUUAAGGACAUCUUUGAAGUCAUUCAGAACAUCCUAAUGAACAUUGGUGGAAGGCAGUGCAUCUCACUAGUGCAUGGUCUAAGAAACAGACUCUUGCAGAAAGCCAUGCAGAACUGUAAUUGUAUGUUCCUUAGUGUUAAGGACAGUUUUUAUUUUACUGUUUGUUUUUUUAUUCUUGCAAGUUCUCAUUCUCACUUUUGUAUGUCACUAAAUGACUACACUUUACAUUCCAGAUUAGACAAUUACUCAUUUGUUCAUGGUUUAAGAAACUUAUGUGAACAACAAUAUAAU